AUAUCGGCCCUUUUCAGGGCCACCACAAAAUAUUAAAAGUAGAAUAU
rfam:Trichomalopsis sarcophagae strain Alberta scaffold10348, whole genome shotgun sequence.